GAGUUAGUGUGAGCCAAAGAACCAAAGUGAUGUAAAGAAUGAUGAAAAUGACAAUGUGUAAAGUUAAAGUAAAGUGGGGCAAUAAGAAUAAAAAAUGUAAAGAACAAGAAUGCUAAAGAUAGCAAAAGUAAAGGAGAAGUAAAGAACAACGAUUGCUAGAGUGGCAACAUAAAGUGAUGUAAUGAACACUAGAGGUAGUGUAAAGUCAAGAUUGAACU
rnacentral:lncRNA from 1 species